rnacentral:rRNA from 1 species
AAGAUUAAGCCAUGCAUGUCUAAGUAUAAGCAAUUUAUACAGUGAAACUGCGAAUGGCUCAUUAAAUCAGUUAUCGUUUAUUUGAUAGUUCCUUUACUACAUGGUAUAACUGUGGUAAUUCUAGAGCUAAUACAUGCUUAAAAUCUCGACCUUUGGAAGAGAUGUAUUUAUUAGAUAAAAAUCAAUGUCUUCGGACUCUUUGAUGAUUCAUAAUAACUUUUCGAAUCGCAU